GCUACUGACACCUAUUGUGAUAAAUGGAAUUUAAUAUUGGUUCAAGAUGAAAAGUUAUAAUAGAGUGAAAAGGAAUCGCCUGAACACAAUCCCAUGGUACAGUAUCAUUUAAGAUAUCCAGUCAUUUCUGCCUGGAGUCCGUCAUUGUUACCUUGGGAAAUACAGAAUCUUUUUUCUUUCAUACAUUUUCUGUACACUGCUCUGCCAAUUUUUCUUUUUUCUCUCUCUGUCCUCACUUCCUGUUUUUCUCUCUUUUAAUUCUUUCUAUUCAGCAAAUGGUCUCUUUAUCUCAUCUUGCCCUCUCUUGCAUCCGUAGGUUUUCUUUUACAUCUCAGCAGCUACUGUUUUUAAUCUGCCAUACCUGAAACAUUCACAGGCUAAACUGGAAGAAGUGCUGAAACAGUGGACUUUAGGCGUGGUGUGACAAGAUGCAGCCUUAGUUCUCUUUGUCCACUCUCCCUCUGCCGUAUCCCCACAUUUACAACAGUGAAUCAGAUGUUCAGACACUGACAUGCAGAGAAGUUCCACCUUCCACAACAGGCUAACAAUAAUCAAAAUCCAACCCUGGUUAAAUUGUAUUGCAAAUAAUAGUACUAUUAAAAUCCCUGCCUACUAGAUGAGGCCUGUUCUACUAAGACUGUUGAGCCUUGCAGGCAAUCCACUGCUUCACUCUCUAUAAGCAUCAUCAAAGCUACUUAAGCUAAUUAAUUGCAGGCUGAGGGAUAUUAAUACCUCAAGAUGUAUGUACCCGGCACAAAUUGUCCUAAAUCUCCAAAUGCGGAAAGAAAGGUUUUGGCUCUGUAUUUCAGCUAGAUCUUUAAAGAAGCACAUUGUCACUUCUAGGAUGUCAGCAUUUCUUUAGAGUUGCUGAGAACUUAAAUAUUUUUUCCUUUUUCCACAGAAUUAUUAUUUAACAUCUUCUUACCAGAAGCCUUCACACCCAGAAGGGCUCUCAUCAUACAUGUUAUAGGAUAUUCCAGCUCUUUGCAUCUUUGCUCUCUGAAAAACUAGCAGGUGUGGGGUUCUUUUUGGCUCAGUGAGGAGCAGUGCCUGGAGGUGGCAGGUUGCUUCAACACCAAUUAGCUUUGCAGGACAGGACACAGCGUUCAGUACAGCCAUAUGGGAUGCAGAGAAGAGAAAUCAAAAGAAACCAUAUUCCUCCUGGGAACUGUAGUUGCCCCUUGCAGAACAUACUGUUCAAAAUUCAGAGGUGAGGAAACAUCUAGAAAGGUGUUAAGUUUGUACUUACCAUCUGAGA
rnacentral:lncRNA from 1 species